CGGCCGGCCACACUGGGACUGAGACACUGCCCAGACUCCUACGGGAGGCUGCAGUCGAGAAUCUUCCGCAAUGGGCGAAAGCCUGACGGAGCGACGCCGCGUGGAGGACGAAGGCCUUCGGGUUGUAAACUCCUGUCACGUGACGAGAAAUACGGAGCGCUAAUACCGCUCUGUUUGACAACUCAUGAGAGGAAGUCACGGCUAACUCUGUGCCAGCAGCCGCGGUAAUACAGAGGUGGCAAGCGUUGUUCGGAAUCACUGGGCAUAAAGGGCGCGUAGGCGGUCGAUCUAGUCGGUUGCGAAAGCCCUCGGCUCAACCGAGGAACUGCAUCCGAUACUGGUUGGCUAGAGUAUGGUAGGGGAGAGUGGAACUCCUGGUGGAGCGGUGAAAUGCGUAGAUAUCAGGAGGAACGCCGGUGGCGAAAGCGACUCUCUGGACCACAACUGACGCUGAGGCGCGAAAGCCAGGGGAGCAAACGGGAUUAGAUACCCCGGUAGUCCUGGCCCUAAACGAUGGGCACUAGGUAGUGGGGGGUCCGAUCUUCUCACUGCCGGAGCGAAUGUGUUAAGUGCCCCGCCUGGGGAGUACAGUCGCAAGGCCGAAACUCAAAGGAAUUGACGGGGGCUCACACAAGCGGUGGAGGAUGUUGCUUAAUUCGAAGCAACGCGAAGAACCUUACCUGGGCUUGACAUGGAUGUGGUACGGACCCGAAAGGGCGAGGACCCGGUUUUCCGGGAGCAUUCACAGGUGUUGCAUGGCUGUCGUCAGCUCGUGUCGUGAGAUGUUGGGUUAAGUCCCGUAACGAGCGAAACCCUUAUCGUUAGUUGCCAGCGGGUCAUGCCGGGGACUCUAGCGAGACUGCCGGUGUCAAACCGGAGGAAGGUGGGGACGACGUCAAGUCAUCAUGGCCCUUACGCCCAGGGCUGCAAACGUCCUACAAUGGUCGGUACAAAGGGAUGCAAGACCGCAAGGUGGAGCGAAUCCCAUAAAGCCGGCCCCAGUUCGGAUUGUGGGCUGCAAUUCGCCCGCAUGAAGCCGGAAUCGCUAGUAAUCGCGGAUCAGCACGCCGCGGUGAAUAUGUUCCUGAGCCUUGUACACACCGCCCGUCAAGCCACGGGAAUCGGUAGCACCCGAAGUCGUUUGCCUAACCCUUCGGGGAGGGCGGCGCCGACGGUGAGAUCGAUGACUGGGACUAAGUCGUAACAAGGUA
rnacentral:rRNA from 1 species